CUACUAGCAUACGACGGGUACGGGUUGUGAGAGCAAGAGCCCGGAGAUGGAUUCUGAGACACGAAUCCAGGCCCUACGGGGUGCAGCAGGCGCGAAAACUUUACAAUGCUGGCAACAGCGAUAAGGGAACCUCGAGUGCCAGGUUACAAAUCUGGCUGUCGAGAUGCCUAAAAAGCAUUUCAUAGCAAGGGCCGGGCAAGACCGGUGCCAGCCGCCGCGGUAACACCGGCGGCUCGAGUGGUAACCGUUAUUAUUGGGUCUAAAGGGUCUGUAGCCGGCCGGAUAAGUCUCUUGAGAAAUCUGGCAGCUUAACUGUCAGGCUUUCAGGAGAUACUGUCUGGCUCGAGGCCGGGAGAGGUGAGAGGUACUUCAGGGGUAGGGGUGAAAUCUUGUAAUCCUUGAAGGACCACCAGUGGCGAAGGCGUCUCACCAGAACGGACCUGACGGCAAGGGACGAAAGCUAGGGGCACGAACCGGAUUAGAUACCCGGGUAGUCCUAGCCGUAAACGAUACUCGCUAGGUGUCGGCCACGGUGCGACCGUUGUCGGUGCCGUAGGGAAGCCGUGAAGCGAGCCACCUGGGAAGUACGGCCGCAAGGCUGAAACUUAAAGGAAUUGGCGGGGGAGCACCACAACGGGUGGAGCUUGCGGUUUAAUUGGAUUCAACGCCGGG
rnacentral:rRNA from 1 species